rnacentral:rRNA from 1 species
UACGUAGGGUGCAAGCGUUUGUCCGGAAUUAUUGGGCGUAAAGAGCGUGUAGGCGGUCCGGUAAGUCGGCUGUGAAAGUCCAGGGCUCAACCCUGGGAUGCCGGUCGAUACUGCCGGACUAGAGUUCGGAAGAGGCGAGUGGAAUUCCCGGUGUAGCGGUGAAAUGCGCAGAUAUCGGGAGGAACACCUAUGGCGAAGGCAGCUCGCUGGGACGUUACUGACGCUGAGACGCGAAAGCGUGGGGGAGCAAACAGG